rnacentral:rRNA from 1 species
UACGUAGGGGGCGAGCGUUGUCCGGAAUUACUGGGCGUAAAGCGCAUGUAGGCGGGCGAGUAAGUCAGGGGUGAAAACCGUGGGCUCAACCUACGGCUUGCCCUUGAUACUGGUCGUCUUGAGUACAGGAGAGGGAGGCGGAAUUCCCGGUGUAGCGGUGAAAUCCGUAGAUAUCAGCAGGAACGCCGGUGGAGAAGUCGGUCUCCUGGGCCGUUCCUGACGCUGAGGCGCGAAAGCUAGGGGAGCAAACCGG